AACGCGAAGAACCUUACCUGGGCUCGAAAUGUACCGGAAUCCGGCAGAAACGUCGGCGUCUAGCAAUAGACCGGUAUAUAGGUGCUGCAUGGCUGUCGUCAGCUCGUGUCGUGAGAUGUUGGGUUAAGUCCCGCAACGAGCGCAACCCUUAUCUUCAGUUGCUACCAUUUAGUUGAGCACUCUGACGAAACCGCCUCGGAUAACGGGGAGGAAGGUGGGGAUGACGUCAAGUCCUCAUGGCCUUUAUGUCCAGGGCUACACACGUGCUACAAUGGCCGGUACAAACCGCUGCAACCCCGCGAGGGUGAGCUAAUCGGAAAAAGCCGGCCUCAGUUCGGAUUGGAGUCUGCAACUCGACUCCAUGAAGCUGGAAUCGCUAGUAAUCGUGGAUCAGCAUGCCACGGUGAAUACGUUCCCGGGCCUUGUA
rnacentral:rRNA from 1 species